AGUGAACGCUGGCGGUAGGCCUAACACAUGCAAGUCGAACGGCAGCACAGUAAGAGCUUGCUCUUACGGGUGGCGAGUGGCGGACGGGUGAGGAAUACAUCGGAAUCUACUUUUUCGUGGGGGAUAACGUAGGGAAACUUACGCUAAUACCGCAUACGACCUACGGGCGAAAGCAGGGGAUCUUCGGACCUUGCGCGAUUGAAUGAGCCGAUGUCGGAUUAGCUAGUUGGCGGGGUAAAGGCCCACCAAGGCGACGAUCCGUAGCUGGUCUGAGAGGAUGAUCAGCCACACUGGAACUGAGACACGGUCCAGACUCCUACGGGAGGCAGCAGUGGGGAAUGUUGGACAAUGGGCGCAAGCCUGAUCCAGCCAUACCGCGUGGGUGAAGAAGGCCUUCGGGUUGUAAAGCCCUUUUGUUGGGAAAGAAAAGCAGCAGGUUAAUACCCCGCUGUUCUGACGGUACCCAAAGAAUAAGCACCGGCUAACUUCGUG
rnacentral:rRNA from 1 species